rnacentral:rRNA from 1 species
AAAUUGAAGAGUUUGAUCAUGGCUCAGAUUGAACGCUGGCGGCAGGCCUAACACAUGCAAGUCGAGCGGUAGCACAGAGAGCUUGCUCUCGGGUGACGAGCGGCGGACGGGUGAGUAAUGUCUGGGAAACUGCCUGAUGGAGGGGGAUAACUACUGGAAACGGUAGCUAAUACCGCAUAAUGUCGCAAGACCAAAGUGGGGGACCUUCGGGCCUCAUGCCAUCAGAUGUGCCCAGAUGGGAUUAGCUAGUAGGUGGGGUAAUGGCUCACCUAGGCGACGAUCCCUAGCUGGUCUGAGAGGAUGACCAGCCACACUGGAACUGAGACACGGUCCAGACUCCUACGGGAGGCAGCAGUGGGGAAUAUUGCACAAUGGGCGCAAGCCUGAUGCAGCCAUGCCGCGUGUGUGAAGAAGGCCUUCGGGUUGUAAAGCACUUUCAGCGGGGAGGAAGGCGUUAAGGUUAAUAACCUUGGCGAUUGACGUUACCCGCAGAAGAAGCACCGGCUAACUCCGUGCCAGCAGCCGCGGUAAUACGGAGGGUGCAAGCGUUAAUCGGAAUUACUGGGCGUAAAGCGCACGCAGGCGGUCUGUCAAGUCGGA